ACCAGGAAAACGGAAAUUCUUUUGAAUAUUGUUUUGUUUAUGCUCAUGUUGAUUCUAAUCCUUCAUUUAUUCUGUCUUGUUUGACAAUUAAUAAUCACUUUUGCUUGUGCUGUAAGACUAGUAUGACCAAAGACAGCACCAAAAGCACCUUCUCGUUGUGUAACUUUGCCAUUGGAAGUUGAAAAGAAGAAAAUCAUUUUUCUAUGACAGCCACAGGCUAAGAAACUCAAUUUUAAAACAAAUAAUUUAAAAGUGUACACGGUUAAGAAUCACUGACGAUAAUAAGAAAAGAUGGCAAUGAAGUGAACGCAAGAGCCAGGGUGUCACAAUAAUUUAUGAUGCUGAACAUACUAAAUUAUUUGAUCAGAGAGCCAUGUUAAAGUACUAAGAAGUAACCAAAGUGAUUAGUGAUUUAUUAACGAACAUAAUAAGUUCAUGUAUAUAACUUACAAACAUA